AUAACAUAUUAUAAGAAAAAAACAAAAGUGAAGUAAUUGUGAUUGAGUUGAAAUUUUUGAAGGAGGCACCCUAUCUAUACCCUUUGAAUUUGGUUUUGAUUGAGAGAUAAUUGGCAUAUCAUGUUUGUUCGAAUAAGACACGCAACACACUAUCAUUAUCUUUCACAGUUUGGUCAACACCUCAACACUAAUCAUAAAUUAAUAAAUCUCACUAGAAAUAUUUACGGCACGAAAUUAGUAGCGUUUAUUGUUUAAUUAAUAAAGUUGACACGUUACUUUACGAGUUUCUUUUUAAAUAUUAGGGGGGGAAAUCGUUUUGAUUUUAUGAUUUAUGCCAUUUUAUCUCCUUAUUGGGCUUAACUCAGCCCGUUUAUGGAAAUAUUUGGGCUGCAUAAUGCUGGCCCAUACCGGAAAUUAAUAAUGGUUGAGCCCGCUAUUGUUGAGGCCCAAAUGUGACGUGAAUUCGAUGCAAAUCGCGAACCAAAUAAACACAUCGCAAAUCGCGAUGAGAGAGAGAGAGAGAGCUAAAACCUCCAUAGAAACCCAGGGGAGGAAGGGAUUGAGCGAGAAGGAAAUGCAAAUUGUGUAUAGAGAUGCAUAAGAAUAGUGAGGGAGAGAGAGGAGAAGGCGCUUCAAUAUUCAUACAGUGAUCGCCGCAACAAGAAGCUCGAUAUGCGUUCUCUUUGGAUCCAGCGAAUCAACGCCGGCACCCCUCACCGCGGAGUAGAACGACGGGCUGAUGAAGGCGAACGAUCAAUUGAAAGCACUCUUCAGGAACAAGACGGCACUUCGCGAGAAGGAGGGCUUUGCAGUGCUCGUCUCGUUUCUCUUUUUUUUUUUUUUUUGAUGAAAUUACAUUAUAAAUAAUACAAACCACACACACACCCGACCUAGUGGUUAUUGUGGCCGAGAGUACUCGAACCUGUGACCUCUUGGACAACAGGCAACCACCCCAACCACUAGGCCAUCCCAAGGGGACCGUCUCGUUUCUCUCUUGUUUAUAUGUAGGGUUGCUAUUGGCUAACUUGAUACACGACUUUGUUUUUUUAUAGAUUCUUAUAAUAUAUGGACACCUCUAGAGAGAGAAAGCUUGAGUUGCAUCA